AUUCCAUCAUUUUUGCAGUUCACGCAAUGACGUGCACUUGCUAGCCUGUUCCAUUGUACAUGUUCUCCGAAUGCUCAGGAGGAGCCUGGCCUAGCCUCUGAAGGAUCCUUCCUUGGAAGGACUAGUCCUACCAAGGAAGGAUCCUUGACAUUGAGAAACACCUAGAGACUGUAGCCGCUUUCCGACCAGAGGGAUUUUUGCAGUUCCUAGAACAUAAAAUUCCUAGAACCCUUUUUUUCUCGUGUUCUGACUGGACCAAUUUGGGUAUUUUUAAGUUCCUCUGGCCGCAGUUCCUGUAACUCUUUCAGCUCCUACUUCAGGGCAGGGUCUUUUUGCUGUUCCCUUUUCCGCAUAGGAACCUAGGUUAACGAGGGUCGGGUUUCCGGUACAGACAGACCAACAACGGGACAAUUUUAACAAUUUUCACCAUCUUAUUCAUCACUAAAUUUACUUCUGACGUUUUAGGCAAGAAAUGAACUGUUUAGAUUUCGAAUAUAGGCAGUCUUGCGAAAAUUGAUGCCGAAUUGACAAUUUGCUUCAAAGUUUCGGAGUUGAGAAGC